GCAUCUGUUCUUCAGUGGUAGAACACCCCUGUGUUAUGUGGGAAGGCCUGGGUUCAAUUCCUGGCUGGUGCA
rnacentral:tRNA from 1 species